rnacentral:rRNA from 1 species
CAGUCGCCACGGGAACACGAAGGGUGCAAGCGUUAAUCGGAAUCACUGGGCGUAAAGGGAGCGUAGGCGGCGUGGUAAGUCAGAUGGGAAAUCCCGGGGCUCAACCCCGGAACUGCAUCCGAUACUGCCAUGCUAGAGUGUGGUAGAGGAUGGUGGAAUUCCCGGUGUAGCGGUGAAAUGCGUAGAGAUCGGGAGGAACAUCAGUGGCGAAGGCGGCCAUCUGGGACAACACUGACGCUGAGGCACGAAAGCGUGGGGAGCAAACAGGAUUAGAUACCCCAGUAGUCCCUGUCUCUUAUAC